rnacentral:rRNA from 1 species
UCGCCUGUGGAUGAGCCUGCGGCUGAUUAGCUAGUUGGUGGGGUAAGAGCCUACCAAGGCGACGAUCAGUAGCCGGCCUGAGAGGGUGAUCGGCCACACUGGGACUGAGAUACGGCCCAG